rnacentral:rRNA from 1 species
UACGUAGGGGCCAAGCGUUGUCCGGAUUUAUUGGGCGUAAAGAGCUCGUAGGCGGUUCGGCAAGUCAGCUGUGAAAUCUCCACGCUCAACGUGGAGGGGUCAGCUGAUACUGCUGUGACUUGAGUCCGGUAGGGGAGUGUGGAAUUCCCGGUGUAGCGGUGAAAUGCGCAGAUAUCGGGAGGAACACCAGUAGCGAAGGCGGCACUCUGGGCCGGUACUGACGCUGAGGAGCGAAAGCAUGGGGAGCGAACAGG